rnacentral:lncRNA from 1 species
UUUUUUUUUUUUUUAUUAUCAUAGUCCUUUUUGCCCCAUGCCCUGCCAUCUCAACCACAAGGAAUAUUCAAUUGUAAUCUAUUAGGAACUUGGAAAUACUAGCAGACAAUGCAAGGGAGGGGGGGUCCAAAGGUGAAAAUCUACGGAAGGGGAUUUCAACCUUCCUUGUGCGUUAGAAUCGCCCUAGGAGCUUUAAAUACAGAUGGCCAGGCCUUUCCAGUGGUGAUUCAUCAAUCAGGUGGAAGCCCAGGAACCAGCAUUUUUUAAGUUCCCCAAAUGAUUCUCAUGGGCAGCAGAGUUGGAAAUCACUGGUCUACAGGAACCAGGGGAGGGCUGCAAAGGUCGUUAAGGGGUCCUACUGAUGGGUGACUAAAACCCAAGGGAGGCAGACUCAGAGCAUCAAGGGAACCGUUGUUUCCUCUCUCAGGAAGGCAGGGCCCAGGAAAGAGGGAGCUUCUGAAUGUGCUAGUCUCUGCUGGGGAGACAGAGACAGCUCAGGCACACUGGAUCCCCUUGCUAGGAUCAGCUGGAAAGUGCAAGAGUGGAGAAUGGAAUCAGUAGGGCAGGGUGAGGGGCUGGAAUUGAUUAACAAUCUGCAGUCAGCAAGGAGGAAAGAGACCCUGAAGCCCUGGGCUGAACCUUUGAAAUGCCUCUCUAGUCCUACUAAGAGCUCUCUUAGUGAUGUUAGCUGUAUCUAAUCGGCUGUUGUAGUGACUACGUACUAUUAACUUUAUUCUUUUAUUCUAAGUCACCUUGAAACCUUUUGUAACAAGUAGGAUUUGAGUAAUCUUAACUUAAAAAACCUAUAUAUGUUUUGUCUUUGAGGAUGUCCUCAUGUUGGAGUUGACUGGGCACCCAAACUGGGGACUAAGUUGGAAAGAUGCUUCGUCUUGGGGCCCAAGCUGAGAGAGAUGCUGGAGAGAGUGAAAGGGGGAGUCCGCCGAGAUCAUAGGGAGAGAAAACUUGAAUCUCUUAGGUCUAUGACGUAGCAGUUAUUGACCAGAAGUAAACGCUGGAACCCCACUGACUGAUAAGGCUGAACAGAAGUCUGCCAAGCACUGACUCAACCAGCUCAGUUUACAGAGGAGGGAAGUAUAGGGAAGGAAGUUAAGGGACCAUGCAAGGCAAACACAGCUGAGUUUGUCACAUCAGGUCUCCCUUGGCAAAACUGCAAAGCUACCCAGAUAUUUCACCCGUAGCCAUUCAUAUUUUAGUGAGAAUUACGUUCAACCAAAGACUCAGCUGCUUGUCUCUCAGCUACAUUUAGUUACAUGAGAGAAUGGAAUCUUGCACAGGGUAGAGGAGGUGGGUAGACCCACAGGAAGAAGUAUCAGGUGUUCUAGGUAUAGACAAACUGUAAUGAAUUGCCCAGAUGAGUGUUGAGCAUUGUAUAUUCAGAAAACUACAGGAAGGCAGUUGUCACCCCUAGUGUGUGUAGAAGGGACCAUUAGUGUUAGAAUUUGACCAAUAUUUAUUGAGGAUCUUUUGUGUCCUCAUAACUUAUGUAAUCCUCACAAAAACCCUGUAAAGUAAUUAUUCCUAUUUUCUAGCUGAGGAAAUGGAAGUUUAGAGAGGGUAAGUCAUUUUUCCAAAGUCACACAGCUUGUCAGUAGGGAGGGCUGGGAAACCCAUCAAGCCUACUGUGCUUUUCACUGAGCCAUAGUGUCUCUGGGAAAUAUCAUUCCAAAGAGGCUGUGUGUCAUUCUUGGGAAGUUGUGCUUGUCAUCUAUGUAACAGCUCGUUUGGAUUCUCAGUACUUUAAUUUAGAACCCAGGAAGGUCAGUUUUUUUUUAUUUAUUUGGUAAAGAGUGGGCCUUAUUAAUCUAUAAAAGUCGCAGGUCAAAUUUCCUUUGGCCACUCAGAGCUCAGAGGGUCAAAUUGGUUUUACUGCAUCCUGUUCUUAAGAAAAGUGUAAGGAGAAACAGAAUGCAAUGAAAAUCAACAGUGAGUAAGGAGUGAUUGAUGUGUGUGUUGGCAUGCCUACAGCAUGCAGAAGUUCCUGGGCCAGGGAUAAAAUCAGCCACAGCAGUGACAAUGCUGAAUCCUUAACAACUAGCCUACCAGGGAACUAAUAAUUAUAGUUUUGAUAGAUUCCUCAUGGCAUUUUUUUUUUCCAAUUCAACUUUCUUAACUUUUUCUGGGCUUUUAUAGAGCAUGGCAGUGGUGGGAAAGGGGUUUGAUGCUGGAGAGGAGCAGAAUUACCUCCCCUCGCCACUCCCAGGGAGUCAGCCAUGGACAGUCCCAAAAAGAUGGGAACUAGAAAAUAAGGCUGGAGCAGGCUCUCCUAGCCUGGUGGGAAGAGGAGGAAGGCUGUGGGGAAGAAAAAAAUUCCAUGGGGGCAGACCCAAGGCACUGGCCUGAGACCAGAGAUAAACAGUCCAGAGCUGGCAAGGAAAACUAGCUGAAGUCUGGGAGUCAGAUAGGCUGGUAUUUAAGUCCAGGCCUGUCUUUACAAGCUAGGUGAGUCUGGGUAAGCUAUUGACCCUUUUGAGCCUCAUUUUCCUCAUCUAUAAAAUGAAGCUGAUACACACACACACACACACACACACACACACACACACACACACACUUGGCUUAUUAGGCUCUUGUCAAAAUUCAUAGUAUAUCACUAUCUUAGGACAUGGUCCUCAAUAAUUAAUAUUUGGCCAGAUGUUGUCUAGCAGAGAAAAGUUGACAUUUCUGCUUUCCUUAAUCCAUGAGGCUAGAAAGCAGAAGAUUGAACUGAGAAACGAAUCAUUUCUCUCUAGAGGUCUCAGUGAGGAGGUUGACAACCAGCAUUGAAGAAAUUCUUCCUCUCAUUUCCUGAAGUUUCUGUCUUCUUGUGAACAAACCAGCAAGCAAAACUGAAAUGUUUCAAGGGGCGACUGCAAACAUGAUCAUUUCUUUUGUUCUGAGAAAUCAUUUCAACCCACAUGACUUCACUGGGCUACUGGAUAUGUUUGCUUCCAAUUAUAUUUGCUUGGGGCAAAAUUCAGAAUUACGGGAGAGUUGAAUGUCUCUUAGGUUCUUUGCUGUAUUUGAAGAGUAGGAGAACCUCUGCCAGGAGACCUCGCAGCUACAUUUAGAAUUUGUUUUCACUGUCACUGCUCCCCAAAGCUGGGUUUCUUAUUAGUUUUCAAGUGAGUUUGUUUUCACAAAGUCUGUUUGUGUGUGAUGGGGUCUGAUAAGGCCUCCCUACAAAGAAGAACAACAUUCUGAAGUCUGACUUGCUUUUAGAAAUCCUUGGCCCUACAUUGAAGUUGGAGGCAUAUUUAUAUUUGGGGUUUAAAAGGCCCAGCUGAGACUUGGUAAACAAGCAAAUGAACAUGGGACUGGACCCCAAGAAGAAUUGCAGCUUUGAUAAAUGGCAACCUGAUUUGGAAAAGAGAUGCCUUUAUUUCAACACUAUUGAAGCCAAGUUGCCUGGAAUGAAGGUUUUGCAAUAGGUUCCCAAGCUGACCACACGAAGUGGGGCUCUGAAUUACAAAGGAUCCUUUCAUUUACCACUAAAUCAAUCCCUUAUCAAAGUGGGGCCAGCUUCUGAAAGAAGAGUUUCAUAUUGAAAAGAGAAAUUUAUUUGCAAGAACUCAUCAAAUCUAUUAUAUAAUUCUGAAGAAUUUGCCUUUAGGUCAACAUUGCUGGUAUUUGAACUAACCUCAUAAUGCCUUAAACAUAGAAGGAUUCAAUUUUGUUUUACUCAUUUUGGAUCUGGAAUUUUGGAGAAGCCCCAGUGUUGCUGGAACGUGUUCCCAAUGUUCAAUUUAAAUACAUGAUUUAUCUUCUGUGUAACAGUACAACCUUGUACAAGUAACAAUCAUUUGAAUUAUAAACAGCUUUUGCUCAUUUGUGGCUUCAAAGAAGGAAUGAGUCAAAAUGGCUAAGUUCAAGGUAUGCAGCCUUCUUAUCCUUUUUGUUUGUCCCUUACUAAUCAAGGGGAGGGUAGUUACCUGCUUUGGGUUGCAGCCCAUUCUCCAGCUUCCCUGUGCGGGAGGGGGUGGGAGGUGGUGGCUGAGAGCUGCAGAUGACCGUCUCCUGCACAUCUAACAGUUACGGGGUGCUGACCUUGUGUCAGGCACUGAACGAGACCCUAGAGAUUCACAAGUAAGUAGAAACAGGUACAAUCCAAUAGAGAGUCUAGAAAUAAAUCCACACCUAUAUGGUCAACUAAUCUCUUUUUGAGGUAAAAUCGACAUAUAGAAUUAAUCUCCUGUGUGUGACAUAAAAAUUUGAUAUUUGUGGAGACUGUGAAAUGUUGUUAUCAUCCAUAUGGUCAACUUAUAUUUGACAAGGGCAGCAAGAUUAAACAUUGGGGGAGCUCCCACUGUGGUGCAACAGGAUCAGUGUGUUGGGAGAGAUGGGACACAGUUUUGAUCCUGACCUGGCACAGUGCGUUAAAGACCUGGCACCACCUCAGCUGUGGCUUAGGUUGCGAGAGCAGCUCAGAUCUGAUCCCUGGCCCAGGAGCUACAUAUGCUGUGGGACAGCCAAAAAUUAAAAAGAAAGAAAGAAGGAAUAAACAAUGGGGAAAAGGUAGUAUCUUCAGUAAAUGCUGUUGGGAAAACUGGAUAUCUAUGUGCAGAAGAGUGAAAUUGGACCCUUGUCAUACACCAUAGACAAAAAUUAACUUGAAAUGGAACAAAGUUAAAUUUAAGACCUGAAACCAUAAAACCUCUAGAUGAAAUUUUCUUCUAGGGAAAAAACUCCUUUACAUUGAUCUUGCUAAUGGUUUUUUUUAAAGAUAUGACAUCAAAGACAGAGGCAACCAAAGUAAAAAUAAACUAUUGGGACUAUAUCAAACUAAAAAGCUUCUGAAUAGCAAAGGAAACAACAAAAUGAUAAGAUAACCCAUGGAAUGGGAGAAGAUAUUUGCAAAGCAUAUAUCUGAUAAAAGUUGAAUAUCUAAAAUAUAAGAAAUUCAUAUAACUCAAUAGAAAAAAAAA